GCCAACACCAAUGGGUUUAAGCAUACCUAAGCACCCUAAAGACACCAGAUCCUGUCUGAUAUUGGAAACUAAGCAAAGUCCACCCUGGUAAGUAUUUGGAUGGGAGACCGCCAAUGAAUACCAGAUGCUGUAGGCU
rnacentral:rRNA from 11 species